rnacentral:rRNA from 1 species
UACGAAGGGGGCUAGCGUUGUUCGGAAUUACUGGGCGUAAAGCGUGUGUAGGCGGUCCUCUAAGUCGGGUGUGAAAGCCCAGGGCUCAACCCUGGAAGUGCACUCGAAACUGGAAGGCUAGAGUACCGGAGAGGUUGGUGGAAUUCUCGGUGUAGAGGUGAAAUUCGUAGAUAUCGAGAGGAACACCGGUGGCGAAGGCGGCCAACUGGACGAGUACUGACGCUGAGACACGAAAGCGUGGGGAGCAAACAGG